rnacentral:rRNA from 1 species
UACAGAGGGUGCGAGCGUUAAUCGGAAUUACUGGGCGUAAAGCGUGCGUAGACGGUUACAUAAGUCGGGUGUGAAAGCCCCGGGCUCAACCUGGGAAUUGCAUUCGAGACUGUGUAGCUAGGGUGCGGUAGAGGAGAGCGGAAUUUCGGGUGUAGCGGUGAAAUGCGUAGAUAUCCGAAGGAACAUCAGUGGCGAAAGCGGCUCUCUGGACCAGCACCGACGUUCAGGCACGAAAGCGUGGGGAGCAAACAGG